rnacentral:rRNA from 1 species
CCUACGGGAGGCAGCAGUGAGGAAUAUUGGUCAAUGGGCGGGAGCCUGAACCAGCCAAGCCGCGUGAAGGAAGAAGGCUCCAGGCGUCGUAAACUUCUUUUGUCGGGGAACAAAGGGCGCCACGUGUGGCGUUGUGAGUGUACCCGAAGAAAAAGCAUCGGCUAACUCCGUGCCAGCAGCCGCGGUAAUACGGAGGAUGCGAGCGUUAUCCGGAUUUAUUGGGUUAAAAGGGUGCGUAGGCGGUCCGGAAAGUCAGCGGUAAAAGCCCGGGGCUCAACCCCGGCGAGCCGUUGAAACUGUGGGCCUUGAGUGGGCGAGAAGAAGGCGGAAUGCGUGGUGUAGCGGUGAAAUGCAUAGAUAUCACGCAGAACCCCGAUUGCGAAGGCAGCCUUCCGGCGCCCUACUGACGCUGAGGCACGAAAGUGCGGGGAUCGAACAGGAUUAGAUACCCGUGUAGUC